GAUCUCGGUAGCUUAGCUGGUAGAGCAGCAGGGCGUAAGCCUGAAAAACCUGGGUUCGUAUCCCAGUCGAAGUCG